GGAAGUAAAAGUCGUAACAAGAUUUCCGUAGGUGAACCUGCGGGAGGAUCAUUACAGAGUUCAUGCCCUCGCGGGUAGAUCUCCCACCCUUGAAUAUUUAUACCUUAGUUGCUUUGGCAGGCCGUGGAAACACCAUGGGCUCCGGCUUAUGCGUGCCUGCCAGAGGAAACAAACUCUGUUUUUAGUGAUGUCUGAGUACUAUAUAAUAGUUAAAACUUUCAACAACGGAUCUCUUGGUUCUG
rnacentral:misc_RNA from 1 species